UCAAACCAAUUGGUGACGUCAGGGUGACUACGUCCACUUCUUAUAUACAGUCUGUGGACUCAACAGGUACAUAAUUGUCUGUAAUUUUCCCCAACACCUUCUAUUUUAGACACCCAACACCUUCUACUCCUCUCUAUUUUAAGAGAAUUUUUUUUUUUCACAAGUGAUAAUUUGUUUUAUGAAAUAAUAAUAAUACCUGCAAAAAAGAUGGCUAACAUGUGCUUGUGUUACUUAUUUGUAUGUCUCUUCUGUUGUCCUUAAAACAAUUUAUACAUCACAGUGACGUUCUGAGUGAAUUAUCUGCCUCCUAAUCCAGCCUGUCGUCUUCAUGUUCACUCAGCAUUACAGAAAUUAUUUUAGUUUAUAAAUUAUUAAGGAAGAGGGCUGGAAUUAAUGUCCUUCAUCAGGUCAUAACCGGGGAGAGUAUAUGAUUAGUCAUAUAAAGUCAUUACAAACCACAAAAAGAGAAAUGUAAAAUCAGGAAAGCGUCACACAGGAGUGAACAGCGUAUUUGUUGGGGAUUAUUUUCAGUUGUGGAUUAAUACACAUUUGGUGCUCUAGUGAUUAUUUACAGCAGCAGGACGGUGCUGCGUUGAUCAUAAUGAAGGAACAUGUCAGACGGUGCCACAGUGUGGCUCACUGGUCCAUUGAAUAGAGGAAUAUGUUAUAUUAGACUUUAGCUUCACAAGCAAUACUUGUUAGCAGGAUCAAUUCAUUGCUAGUUUUGAUCUAUAUAAGGAAUAUGAAAUAUCGCCAGCCUUAUUAGCCUUCAGAACAGACAAGAAACAGGCACAUGAUGUGAUAAUAACUGGUCUAGAAUCAGUUUGUCCCGUUCUUAAAGGCAGUUAGCAGCACAUUAGCCCACCCCUGCUACAGAAGCAUGCAGGUCUGGAUGAAGCAGACCCUGUGAAGCAUCUCUCGUUAUAAUCCAAGCUAUUUAAGGCUAACACUCCCACUUGUGAAAACCCAAAGCCGAGCCUGUGAUUUAGAAUUCCAUGCAUGCGUUAUGUAAUGCUUUUGUCUUUCAUGCUUGAACUCCUCUCCAGGCACAGGCAUAGUUUAUUAAUGAAAGGGAUUGCAUGAUUGGGGGGUUGGUUGUAUGUGUGUGUGUAUUUGCAUCAGUGAACAAUAGUUUGUCGUAUCUGUGUGUGCAUGCCUGUGUGGGCAGAGCGAGUGUACUAUUAUGUGUGUCUGCUGCUCACGUGUGUGUGUGUGUGUGUGAGUGGGAGGAGAUAGUGGGGAUUCCUGUGCACUUGACAUGAGGAGCAUGACAACAUGGCCACCCACGACCAUGAAAGGUCAGGGUUUGUCUUCCCUGAAGACCGUAUAAUGGCCUGUCACAGUUUGCACGGAUUACCCUCAUAUGCCAGCUGACAUAUGUGACAUGUUGUGUGCGCUGACUGAGAGGCCCACAAAUUGUAGCCAAGUGGAGACUAAUAACCGAGAGUUGUUAUUCACUAUAUUGUAGAGAUGACAAAGUAGAAUUGUGCUGUUGUACACUAAGUGUUGUUGUCCUGUUUCUUCUUGUGAAUUAUUCAGACUUCCUGUCUUGUUGAAGUUCAAAAUUCAGUGAGUAAAAUCUAAAAGUAAAAUAUGACAUCACUUGUCUUUCUAACAGCAAUCCAAGGUUGCAGAGUAAAGCCGUGUUUGCCUCAUAAAAAGAAAUCUUUUUAAGAGUUUUUCUUUCUUUUUUGGAGGGUUAAAUAAUGUUCACUGUCUCUGUGUGCAUGCAGUCUUAGAAAUAAUUUGGGGCAUGCAUUGUGUCUGUUGCAGGUCGAACUCGCAUUGAGUAGACCAGGCUAUUUUUAUACACCGUUCAUAGCUAUACCUAAGAAAAAGUAGUCAAUUCAUACGUAAUCCACGUAAUUGUGAACCAGGAAGUAUAAAGAGAGACAAAUGCUGUGUAGGGAGGUAGUCGGGGUGGACAGGUGGGUCAAAAAAACAACGGACUUGCGUCCAGGAGACCGCUGUUCAUGUCCCGUGUGAAAC